ensembl:snRNA U1 U1 spliceosomal RNA
CUGAGUAUCUGGCAGGGGAGAUACUAUGAUCACGAAGGUGGUUUUCCUAGAUGAGGCUGAUCCAUUGCACUCCAGAUGUGCUAACCACUGCAAUUUCCCCAAAUGUGGGAAACUCAACUGCAUAAUUUAUGGUAGUGGGGGACUGUGUUCGUGCUCUCUCCUG